UGGAUACAUAAAAAUGGGAGAGAGAAAACAUAUAAGAGUGACUAAUUGUUGAGUUUCCAGGGCUCAAACCAAUCUUGAAUUGGAAUUUCAAGACAUAAAAACCACUGCAGGAACCUGCUGGAGAAACGGCCUCUGGUAUCUCUAUCUGAAAUAUGAUUAUCUUAAGUUCGCAAAGCAUUGUGUCUGCAGUGUGAGUUUGAAAACAACAAUGUUAAGGCAACUUCGCAGCUUCUUAAUCAAGCCCUUCUCCAUCUCUCCGUGUGGUUUUUGGGGUGGUGGAGGUGGAGCCAAAAAAGAGAGGGCAGUUUCCCAGGGCUGAAGAUGCUACCAUGACUCAUAGGAUCUAUGCAAACCCUGUGAGUGAAUUCUGAGGAAGAAGAAUGAGUAAUAUUUUGAUUUUAUUACUGAUGGUAAUAAGAUAGUAUCAUCAGUGUGGUAUAUUCUGAUUACUGAAUUCUAUUCCCUAUUUUCUUCCUGUGGCCAAAUAAAAUUUGUGUG
rnacentral:lncRNA from 1 species